rnacentral:rRNA from 1 species
UACGUAGGGGGCAAGCGUUGUCCGGAUUUAUUGGGCGUAAAGAGCGUGUAGGCGGCUAGGUAGGUCCGCUGUGAAAACCCGAGGCUCAACCUCGGGACGUCGGCGGAAACCAUUUGGCUAGAGUCCGGAAGAGGAGAGUGGAAUUCCCGGUGUAGCGGUGAAAUGCGCAGAUAUCGGGAAGAACACCCGUGGCGAAGGCGGCUCUCUGGGACGGUACUGACGCUGAGGAGCGAAAGCGUGGGGAGCGAACAGG